GUUUCGUAGGAGAGUGUACACUGGAGAAAAACUUUAGUAAAUGCAGCUACCAAAUCUUUAGUAGUCGAAACAUUUGUAAAAUGUACAAAUUUUUUGUAAAUAUUACAAAAACUUUGUUAAACUGAUGUCAGAUGCAAUGUUCACCCCUACCAAUGAUUCGUACAUUUUACUUCAUAGCAUGUGUAACCUUGAUUAUUUUCAUUUCUGGCAACUGUGUGUAUGCAAUCGCCAUUUCUCUAAUGGAAGCGAAGCGGUAUGGAGCUUAAAAUCGUAGAAAUCUAUAGCAACGGUUUCACGCAGCCAGCGCAACCAACAGCAGCAAUGGAUCGCCUCUCGAUCGAUUCGUUGUUCCAGGAAACGAUGGAUAUCAGUUGGGCCAAUCGUGCCGUCAGCAGCGAGGAAACCAACAACAACCGUUUUACAUUGAGCAAUCAACAGCUACCGAUUCGGACAACAUCGACUCGGAUGGAAGCAGCAGCAACAUCGCAGAUUGUCGGUGUUAUUCCAUAUACUGUCUGCAGUAAAAACUCCACUAGCUGAUGAACGAUACGGCUACGGCGAAAGUAUCACAAUUUCAAACACAUCAUCAUGACAACAUUAAUUCUACAGCAGUACUUGGCGACGGCACCCAGCGAAAACCAUCAUCAUCACACAGAGAUCCAAAUCCAUCGUCGACACGGCAGAAAAAAAGCCUAGCGCCAAACUAAGUCAACUGUCCCUACUGGCAUGUUCCCCUCGGACAACAACAUCAGCAUAGGAUCGGAAAACAAUACCGCUGUUCCAUGUGUUGAACACGGUUAUCAUAUUUAGCAACGUAUUCGAAUAAGAGACACCCGUGACCAGUGUGAGCCACAUCAAAGAAAGCGAAGAGCGUACGGCAUGCAUUAUCGAGGUUUACUGAUUCGAUGUCCCGUUUGAGUAUGUACGACGCGGUGUCGAUUUCCGGCGUCAAAUCAUCUUCGAAGAUGAGAACGAAUCGAUGCAAUUUGCGAUCCAGCAAAAUUUGGCAAGUGUCCGAAAAAGCACACUUUUGAGUACUGUGAUACCCAACUCGCUCGUUAAAAGCAUGCAAGAAAAACUUUUUAAUAUUUUAUAAAAAACAGGAAAGGAUUAAGAAUAUUAUUGUGAAUUUACUUGACUGUUGGAUUCUGAGGUCAUUUCAGCUACCUGUUUAAAUCGUCGCUUUUCACGAGGGGUGAUUAAAUCCAUGGAAAAUCCAUACUGAUCACCCCUCAACUUUGUCCCAAAUGUCAAAACGAAAAUUAAAACAAACUAUAAAUAAAUUAACUGGUGAAAUAGUGUUAAAAAAAAGGUUCGAUAUGUAAUUUUGCGGUUGGACUACAAUAAUUUUCCUGUAUUUUGACGUAGGACUACGUCUUUCAUUUCUAUACCGGGGUGUAAAAUCAAAGUUUCGAAAACGAAAACGUUACGCCGGAGACCGAGAUUUUGAGCGUUAAUAGCUCCUACACAACUGAACGAAAUGGUAUGAUAAACACUUCAUUCGAAAGAUAAAAUGUCUACGCGUUCUAUACUUGUUACUUUUUGAUCCAAAAACUUGUUUCAAUAGUCUUAAAAUUGCUUUCAAAACAUGCUAUUGAAAUCACCAAUCGGUAUAUAAGCGAGCGCCGCUCGGAAAUCCACUCAGUUCUAAUUGAACAGCGAUUGGAACAUGUUGUCGCUGUUGUGGUGAAGCUCUUCGUUUGUCAUGAAAGCGCGGAUGAACGGUGUCACCAAGAGCCUGUUUGUGCACCUUAGGCCAGACAUGAAUCCAUCAGGAGAAGAGUGAUGCCACAAACGGUUCCCCGGGAAGACAUCGCUACACACACAUACACGCGCGGAAUUCUUUCCGUUUGGAUGCCAUUCAGCAUCAAGAAAGAUCCGGAAAAUAAUCUGCCAGUUCCUCUGGGAAUUUAAAAAUACAUUCAUGUGAAAGAGUUUAUUUGAAUGUUUUCUAUCCAUGUAACAAUGUGACCAAAUACAUUUGGUUUUGUGAUUUUUCAAUUAAUCGCAAUUAACACGAUAGCUUCUGAAGAUUAUUCUUCCCCAUCAGUAGGAUAUUUCCGUAUCCAAUAUUGUAUGCGCCCGCAAUCGAUUAUUGCUCAAUCGCCGAAAUUUCCGAGCUCAGAGAGUUCAUUCCCCUCUAGUUUGCCUUCCAAAUUGCCAUCGUAAACCACGCCUUCUCUCGAUUCAAUCACGCACAAAAAGCAUACUUAAGCGAUAUUCUGGUGGCGAGACGCAUUCAUUUUUCGUGAGGACAUCGACAAGACAACUGGACGGCGAAGGAUCGAGAUCUGCCCUGAACCGCAAGCAGUUUUGUUUGAAACUGUGAGGGAGCACAGAGAAGCCGAUCCUUCAGGAGAAGAGAAGGUGACCAUCGAAGCAGCCGCUACACACACAUACACGCACGGAAUUCUUUCCGUUUGGAUGCCAUUCAGCAUCAAGAAAGAUCCGGAAAAUAAUCUGCCAGUUCCUCUGGGAAUUUAAAAUUACAUUCAUGUGAAAGAGUUUAUUUGAAUGUUUUCGAUCCAUGUACCACUGUGACCAAAUACAUUUGGUUUUGUGAUUUUUCAAUCAAUCGCAAUUAACAGGAUAGCUUCUGAAGAAUAUUCUUCCCCAUCAGUAGGAUAUUUUCGUAUUCAAUAUUGGAUGCAUAAAACCUUGUACCUCCAACGUAACGCUCUCGUUUUCGAAGUCCCCCAAAUAUUCAUUUAUUCAUUCAUUCAGAAUGGAUUCAGAUUCAACUUCAAACAAAGGAUCACUGAAUCAACGAUAGUCCUACGUCACCAUUGCGGUUAUACCAUAGAUAUAACCCACUUUCUGUUUUUUUUGUAAUAAAAAAUAUUUAUAGCAUUCCAGAAGACGGAUGAUAUUCCGAGCAAGUUUCUUGGUGAAGAUGUUGGUUUUCGUAAUUUAAAGUUCCUGUAGUCAGGACAUGAUAUAAACGGCUAUGAAAAUACAGAGAAAAACAAAAUAACCGGGAGAUAUGCGUUCAAAGGUCAUGACAGCAGUUCCGCCGGAUCAAUACCUUCACCUGUACCAAACAGUGUCACUCUCGGAAGGAAACCAACUUCAAGCGACAUAUCAUAGUCUACAAUUGGCUUAUAAUAUUAUCGAGAGUAUUUUGUCAUCUAACGAUACUUUGUAUGAACGAACUGACUCCCUCGUUAUGAAAGCUUCCUAUGUUCAUGUACAGAUACAAGAACUCAAAGUGCUAAAAAACGAAUUCAGAAUUUAGCAUCGAAAAUUAAUGAUGCUAACGAUAUUAAUCACUAAUUUUAGUACCGAUUUUCUUGCACAGAUUUAUUUGAUAAAUAAAAUAAAGAAAACAUUGAUCAUUUUUGUAGCUUUUAGUACAUAGACGAUUAAUUGAAUUUACCGCCAAAAGUAUAACAGCAUUUUGGAAAUAAUUUCGUGCAGUCAUUUAAGGUAAUUUUGAUAAGUGUGCGUUGAACAGCAUCAGAAGAGAGGAAUUUUAUAAUAUUCCCAUCACAAUGUAUACAAGCACUAUCCAUCAUCCACAUUGAAACUUUAUCUGGAUAGUCUGGACGUAGUUUCCGUCCAAGGGUUUCGAAGUCAUUUGAUAUGCAUGUAGUAUCAGCCAGGUUCGUUUGUCCACAUCAAACUUACGGAAAAGCUCUGUCGUUUGCUAAUACCAGGGACAGACAUACAGCUGUACUUGCGUUGUACGUGUACAGCGUUGUACAGGUACCAUCGUACCAUGACAGACAUACUUUGGUUGUACAUUGCACCGUAUGUCAAACUGACAAUCAGAUAUUUUUCCAAUUUCCACCGCAUAUUUCAAUGAAAAAGGUUUUUAUUUAGUGUCUAAACUAUCAAACACAACAAAAAAGUUUCCAAUCUGAGUUAUUAACUUAAAAGAUAGUCAACGAAAAGAACGUUUAUCAAGUGAUUUGAUUCUGCUUGUUCAUGCUACCCACCACUAACCGUCUAUGGCGCUGCGCACAAUACAACUGUAGCCAUGUACAGCGGUAAAACAGGUCGGUACAGGUACAGCGAUUGUACCGAGUUGCUUGCAUGGUUCUAGCGCUGUACAUGGUGACAGACAUACAAUUUUCGAAGUACAACGCAGGUACAGCUGUAUGUCUGUCAUAAGUAUAAGUCUUAUUAUGGGCCCUAUUCUAGAAAUCGAGGCGAUAAGAAUUUUGCUCGUUAGCUCUAUUUUACUAUUAUAGAAAUCGAACAAUUCGAUAGCACCGAGCGUGUGAUAGCUAUCGAUGCAAGUAUCAGAAAUUUUCGAGUUGUUUGGUUCGCUUUUUGCAUAUCUUUAGAGAAUUAUUUUGUUUUGGUUUGCUUCCCUGAUACUUUCCUUUGGGAAACAUUUCAUAAACGCUUAAAUAUAUGCAAUUUUCAACACAUGUUCGUUUGUUUUGAUCAGUAUUUGUUUUACGGUGUUGCCAGAAUAGUCUAUACAAGGUAAGUGUUCAAUCCAUCAUUAUUUGUAUUAAUCAUGUUGUAAAUUACAAUGCAGAAUUUACUUCCAGCGCAUAUUUCAGUGGCUGAAAAUGAGUGGACAGACAAAUCACCACCAGUACGAAUCGUUGAACCAAUGAAAGCGAAUGUAAACAUUGCUCGAGUUUUUUUUUUGGAGGCAGUUCAAACAGGAUCCCUGUUAAGGAAAAGUGGAAGGAAUUCAGUGAGGAGAUUGAUGAACUGAGACCAUCAAUGUGUCUUGGUUCAGAAUGGCAGAAAAUUUGGAUUGACAUGAGGUGAAAGGUAAAGAAACCACUAGCACACAACAAGCGAAAAUUUAGGGCCACAGGAUGUGGCCCAAUACAAUAAAGCUAUUAACGUCGCUACAACGAGAACUCGACGCUAAAAGAAAAUUACAUGCAAAAAAAUUGUUUUGCUAAAAAAAGUGGAAUUCAUGCGUGACUCUUUACGGAAUUCAUUUC